rnacentral:misc_RNA from 1 species
UUAACUUGCUACUAUAUAUGUGAUAUAUCGGAGUGUGAUUAAACACAGAUGCACAUAACACGCCUACCUGCUAGACGAACCGUGUCUUUUUGAUACAUCGUUUUCAUCUAUUUCUUCCCUCUCUUUUCUCCCGUACUCACUGGUGUGCAAGUUUUUUAAUCUAUCAUUGCAAUAAUCUUAUUUUAUCUACUAACGAAUCAACAGUUAAAGAAAAAAUCUAACAAUAGAAGACGUAAUGUAUGGGAAUGCAAAAUGACGGGUUUUUCGUGAGCGCGAUAAACUCUUGCCCUCCAUACACAUAGUUCCAGGUUAUUUACAUACACGACAUAACUACAAUAAACGAUCAAUUAAUGAAUUGUUGAUAUUCGCUAUAUUUCUCUUCGACAAUUUUAAGGUUCAUCGUGACUGUGCGUGAUUGCUUAUUCUUUUGAAUGUUUUUUAUAUCAUCAAAGAAAAUUCUCCUACUGGAACGCGCUAGACCGUUUAGUAACAAAAAGUGGAAGAAAGCUGGAAGUAGCUAGAAAAUAUUUUGGCUUUCCUUAUCAUGAUGGAAGAGUGAACGAAAAGAAAUUAUAUUCGAUGAACUGCGAUGAUCGACUUGAAGUGGAUCUUCUAGUAGCAAGAAGUGGAAGAAAUUUGACAGUGCUCUAGACAUUUUGGGAUGAAAAUGUUUUUUUUAUCCUCGUCAUGAUGGAAUAGUGGACAAAAAGAAAGUAUUUUGGAUAAACUGCGAUGGUUGACUUGAGGUGGAUUUGCUGGUACCUUUUGAAAGGUGUGCCAACACUUUUUGCCUUUCCCAUUGAAUCAUCACAGGCCUCAGACUCGGAUUUCUGGAAAGUACAAUGGGAAUAUUGGCCCCAAUAUACUCUUGGGAUUCUGAGCUUCGUCGUUGUAGCAUCUACUCUUGUCGGAUGUCUCUGUUGUCAGAGACAGCGCCGUCCAAAAGGAUUUCAGGACGAUGCUGCAACAGGCAAGGAAUUCAAGGAUGGAAGUACAGCGGGAACGGAAACAACAAUCGAGCGUGUGCCUUCCUCGAGUCUCGAACUCGAAGUACCACGACGCAUUUCAACACCAUCGAGAGAGAAGAUUUUAUUUGAUGAGAUAUUGUUGUCCAAUUAUACGGAUGGAAGAUCAGCUUUAAAACCGCCAUCGUCAUCGCUCUAUAACAAUGAUGACAAUGAAGAGAAUGAAAUAUCACGUAAUCGAGGGAAAAACGAGUGGUACGAAGGUGAAAAUUUUCCCCGCGAAAAGUUGAAAUAUCUUCGUGAAAUUGGUCGUGGCUGGUUUGGCAAAGUAGUCGAAGGGAUGACAGUACUCGAGGAAGGAAACGUCACGAUGUUGGGGAAAAACCGUGGUGUCGUCGUAAGGAUUUUAACGGAAGGUGCAACGAGCAGAGAAAAAUCGUGGUUCCUCGGGGAGUCGACACCGUAUUUAAAACUUCGACAUCCAAACGUUCUUGAACUUUUGGGUUUUUGCCUGGAGACUGAUCCAUUUCUCUUGCUCUUUGAAUCUUGUCCCGUUGGAGACCUGAAAAAUUUUUUGCUGGAAAAUCGCGAGACCGGUGAUGCCCUCCGAAAGGAAAAUGUACCGAUGAGAAUGGCGCUGAAUAUUGCCAACGCCCUCGAACAUAUGCACGAAAAUGGAUUUGCUCAUACAGAUUUAUCUGCAAGAAAUUGUCUCGUGGCUCAUGAUUUAACCGCUAAAUUGGGCGACUAUGGGGUCGGGGUCGAGAAAUAUCCUGGCGAUUAUUACAUCGUGGGUGAUCGUGCCUUGCCGAUACGAUGGUCAGCCCCGGAAAGCUUAGAAUGCACGGAAACGACGAUCGAAACGAGAGCAAUUACACCGCACGCGAAUGUUUGGAGUUACGGUGUGCUGCUGUGGGAAAUAGCUAGCUGGGCGGAGCGUCCUUACGACCAUCUUUGCGAUGAGCAAGUUAUCGAAUUAAUAUUUUCCCCCAGAAGCGAGAAAUCUGUUGAAUUGGUUGAUAAAUUUAUCGCCAAACACGACUUGCCGGCAAAUUUUCGAGAAGCUUUAGAAGCAACGUGGAAAUUUGCGCCCACCGAGCGUUCGAGCCUGAGAAACGUGCGAGAAAUACUAUGUGGAAAAAAGAUGGAAGAUUUCGAGCAACGAUGGGAAAAUUUAAAGCCAAAUGGGCCAUGCUCCGUCGAUAAAAGUGCGAGUUUACAAGAUCUCAGAGGGAGCAUGGACUCCGGGCUGUGCCAGGCGAAUUCGUACCUUGAUAAAAAUUCUCUACGAGCCAACUUUCGUCUGGGACCCGAAGAAGAGCCUGUCGUUAAUUGUGCGAGCAUAAGAGAAACCAUUUGUCAAACCGAGUCGGGAUCAGAGACCGAGGAGGAAAGUUGGAGGGGUCGCGUCGAGCGUGGCGCUUAUACAGAAAAGGUUAAACAAAAAUCGAAGUCAGUAGCCGAUCUCAUGGUUCUCGUCCACAUUGAUUCAGACUCCGAUGUCGAAUCUUCGCUGGGACCGCAGAACAUCGAUAAGCCUAUGAAAAAACGUUUACCACCGUCGGGUAGCGACGGUGAUCUCCGCCGCGGUGCCGUUAUCGCCGACGAAUUUGACGAAGCUCUGAGGAAACUACGCGAUCCCUCUAAUGUUGCAAAUAGCUUCGUUACGAGAACGACAAAAAGUACGAUGGAUCACGUAAAUACUGACUCCAAGGUCAAUGAAAACGUGAAAAUUGUAGAUAAUAUCGUACAAAGUGUCGAAAUUAACGAAAUUAUCGAGAAGCCCAAAUUAUUAACUCUCACCAGUCAUCAGGGAAAAACUCCGAUAUUGAGAUUAUCGUUUGGCGGCAAUCCUCUGUCAUCAGAUUCGAGUGAGCCCAAUCUCAAAGACGAUAGUUUUCAAAACGAAGAACGCGUUGUUGAAAAAAUUGAGCAAGAUACGACGAGCGGUGACAAAAAUUCAAGUGAUACAAGAGAAUUUUUGCGAAACGAGGAACCCGUCGUCUUGCGAUUGGUCUCCAAAGGUAAUCCGGAUCUUCCACUUUUGCGUUAUAUUCCCGAACGUAGUUCAACACCAGUGAACCCAGUAGAUAAAGCCCCUUCGGAUGCAUUUCUCGUAUCUGAAAGUCGUGAGGCUCCUCCUUUGUUGACCGACACAACUGGCAAUGGGCCGAAUAGCGUCGACGUUGAAUUGUGGAACGACGCUCUGGGUGAAGAAUUGGAAAAGAAAAACCCUCUUUUCGUUGAAAAUGUCACUAUUUUUCAUGAAUACGCUCAAGAUCGAAUGCUCUAUUUUGAUAAUUCGUCAACAGCUCCGCUCGACAAAGACGCCGGUUUUCACAAAAAAAAUUCAAACUCUGGAUCAAGCACACCAAAAUCGUUGCAAAGUUUCCCUGUUUCAUCGUGUCCUUCCGGUACACGAUACAAUUUUUCAGCGGCCUGUUUAUCGGCUCCUGCAACUCCACGACGCAACGAUAAUCUUAUUUCGAUUUCGGGUCAACGAUUACGGGACAGGCGUAAAGAAGAAAUGAGAAAAAAGACGGAUUAUUAUCCGGAUGAUUGUGUUGUCCUACGAGGCUCGUUAUCUGCGCCGGAAACACCCUUCCGUCGAAAGUACAAUGAAGAUUCGUCAACUUGCGAAGAUCUCGACGAGGAGAGACAUGACGUGAAAGACUCCGCUCCGGAUACGCCACAAUCUCGUUGUAACUAUUCGGUCGGUAAUGCUGACGAAGAUUUGUCAUCAGUCGGCGAUGAACUUGAACCCGCUGGGAUAAUGAAAAGAUCGUCGCACGAAGUCGACGAUGAGGAAGAUCGUAAACAUUUGUCAACCCCGGACGAUGAGCGGAGUUCAGAUUCGGGUUUCCGUGACAAAGAAUCGUGCGAGGAAGAAGAGUCCCCGAUUCCAGGUUCACAGGUACUAUCGAGUAUCGAAAUACUCGGCACGAGAAUUUCUUGCGUAAACCUGAAAAAUUCGUCACCGCUAUUCUCCGCCUCGGCCGAAGAAGAACAAAUGCGAAUUUUGUUUGAGUUAGAUACGAUUCUUGAUGCUGAGUAUUACGGAAACUCCCGUGAUCCAGACAAAAUUGACGACACCGAAAUCUCUUUGGAAAUAAAUGAAAAAUUACAUUUUGAGGACACCGAUGAGAUUGCUGAAAAAAUUAGAUCGAUAUCGGAAUCCCACGGUUCUACGGAAUCGACGGAUAUUCUAGAGACGGUCAGAGCUAAUUCUUGCGAUGCUAAUUUCUUGGAUCAUUUUUUCAGUUCCAAGGACGACACGAAUCAAGAUUCAAAAUUUGAAUACUUCAAUGAUACGAGUUCGGCUGAUUUGUUGGAAAGCAUGGAGGUUGAUUCGGUGAGCGACGAAUGCUCAAUAAAAAUCGAGGAGAAUCGCUUGAGUUCGAAAAAAGAAGAUUUAAUGGUGGGAGGAGGGGCCCAUUCAAGCUGCGAAUCUCCGAUAAAAACUUCUGAUAAAUCACCGAGCACGGAUUCCUCAGCCGAAUUGAUUCGUUUGAAUAUUGAUUCCUCAGAGACGCCUUCGGAUAUCAUGAAAAACGAAUCAAUUAGCAGCGAAAUCUCGCCGAUAAAAACCGAUCGCAAUUCAUUUACGGAUGGAUCUCUGGAUCUUCAGAUCGUAGUCAGCGACUCGACGAGUUCUUCCGAUAAAGAUGCUCUGAAUAAGGUCGCUUCGUUCGACGAUAUCUCCAAAGUCCUUUCUCAAGAAUCGAAAAGUUUUUCAUCACAUAAUAUAGACAGUAAAACCAACGAAAUAAAUUAUGUGGAAAACUGCUCUUCGAAUUUACCGCUUGAGGAAGAUUCUAGGAAUACGCAACUGAAGAAUCCUCCUGCUGGCAGUGACUCCGAGAUAAUCAACUUGACGAGUCCGUCAAUUGAAGAGGAAUUUUCGUCGAGCCGGAGCGAAGACGUUGCGGAAAUUUCUACACGGGCCGAAACACUGAUCACCGAUUUCGAAUCAAUAAAUCAAGACAAAUUACGAACGAACGAGAGUUUCGAAGCUCAAGAAAAAAAAACGGAAACCGAAACGGAAAACUCAAUAUGUUUACCGCAUGGAGCUGAACGAAGAAAUUUUCAGGGAGAUGACGCUUUUGAAUACUCAUCCGAAGAUAGUCAAAAUUUAUGUACGUUCGUCGAUAGAGCAGACGACGGAGAUUCAACGAUAGAAAAUCACGAUAAAAUAGUAUGUUCUUCGAACGAAUUACUGUUGAUACGCGAUGAGAAUCGAGGUUCGAAUAUUUCCGUUGAUGCACUAAUACAACGCGAUCCAUUAAAUUCGGACGUUGAACAAUGGUCUUGGAGAGAAAAUAUCAACGAGAUUAACGACGACAAUGAGGAGGAUAGCUCGACGAUGUCGUUGAAGAGCGAUAAUUCAUACGUUUCGUUUGGUCUCGACGAAGCUUUCGUAACGGCGAUAAGAAACGAGUUGACGGAAAAACUGCCACGAGCUCAAAUGCCAGUUGUCGAGGCGCUCGAUCCGCACGAUGAGACGGAAACGGCAACGGCGUCUAUAAAUCCAGAAACGACUGCCAAACAUUGGGGGGAAGAUGAAGAAAUUGAUUCGAGUCCGGAACGCUCGAGCGUCGAUAUAUCUAUUCGAUAUAAUAUUUAUGGAACUCCUUUGAGUCCCAUUUUGGAAGAGCGCGAGAGCGCUGCAACUUCCGAGUCUCUUUUCUCGAAAGAAGAAUCCGCCGAUGCCUCAAUCGCGUCUAGAGUUUCGGCAUUGUCCGAGGACGUUCUUGUCGUUGACACCCUAACUAAUCGGGCGAUCAUCGUUGAAGCUGGUGCCAAUGGGGGUAACGUUGGAACCUUAGAUUCUCAACAAGAUGAAGACAGGGACACCUCCCACGGCGACAUUUCCGAUGAAGAAAAUCUUGAAUAUCCACAAAACCAUUUCAACAGAGGCUUCGGUAAUAAAAAAACUUGGUUGGGGAGCGGAGGUGCACCUCUGCCAAGUCCCGAGGAAGAGAGCAAAUGGCAACAACAAUUUCCACUCCCUCUGCAAAUGCAGGAUGAUCUUAUGAGCACGAGCUUCGGUACCGACCGUGAUUGGGACAGUCAGGAUGAUGAGGAGGGUGAAGAUGAAGUCGAAGAGGGAGACGACGAUGAAGAAGAGAAUAGUUCGAGUUCUGGCGAAUUCGUUUGGAAGCGAUACGAUGAUGCUGGGGAUUUGGAGAAAGUUGCAACUCGCAGUCCACCGUCUAAGCCAAAAUCCCACGAGACCGAAGUCGAUUUAGACGAGGAAGCGGAGGAAGAAGGUGACGACGGCGAGGAGGAAGAUGACGAGGAAGAGGAAGAGUUCACGCCGUCAGCCUGGGAUGCGACGUUGGCUCCUCAUCGGUCUGCUCUUAGAUCUCCUGAGAAAAAUCUUAAGACUGGGGAUGAAUUGGUAGGAUCAGAAGAAAAGCGUUUGGUUCAAGAAGCAACGGUAUCACUGUGUCUACGAGUAUCCAAAGGAGACUCUUGUGGUCAAUGCUCAGGGGCAAGUUGCGACCACGUGGGAACCAACUUCGUACACUGACUGGGAAGACAUGAUGAACGAACCUGCACGUCUCGAUAUCUACCCGAUUGAAUACGAUGAGACGAAUCGUGCCGGGGACGAAGAAUUUUACCACGAGAGUCAACACCAGAUAUCGUCUUCGUCGUCGUUGACGUCGC